GAAAAUCCUAUUCAGCAUGGCAAGACCAAACACAUAAGGUUAAGUUCCACUACUACAUUCGAGAAGCAGAUAAGAAUUUGGAGAAUAAAUUGUUCAUUACGGUUAUGAGGAGCACCUAGCAAACAUUUUAACAGAAGCAUUUCCAGGGGCAAGAUUUUCGAUUCUGAGAUUAUUGCUAGGAAGGUUAGAGGUAAUUAAGACUCGAAGCUUGAAGAGGCGGGAGCUAGCUUAUGUACGGCAGGCGCCAACUGUAUCAAGUUCACAAGCCAAACAUAUCAGAAACUGCUCGACAUCAUUAUCCUUCAAUUCUUCUGCCUCAGGCUAAAUUCUCUGCAAAGUUCUGCGCCUUCUGAUACUAAUUCAAUUUCUGAGUUUCAUAUCUUGGGAUUAGAAUUAUGGCUGAGGAGAACGGGGAUCCCAGGAUGCAUGAGGCCAACACAUCAAAUUCUCAGGAGCAGGAGAAACACUCCAGCUCCAACGGAAGCAAAGAGAAUGACAAAGAGAAAGCUAAGACAGUUCCUUUUCUUAAGCUCUUCUCCUUUGCAGAUUCCACUGAUGUCUUGUUGAUGAUUACUGGCACGGUUGGUGCCAUUGGGAAUGGAGUGUCUAUGCCUCUAAUGUCGUUGCUAUUGGGACAAAUGAUUGAUUCCUUUGGAGGAAACCAGAGUGAUAAAGAUAUAGUUAAUAUAGUUUCCAAGGUCUCUCUAAAAUAUGUCUACUUGGCAGUAGGAGCUGGAGCAGCAGCCUUUCUUCAGGUGACCUGCUGGAUGGUCACAGGGGAAAGACAGGCAGCACGAAUCAGGAGUUACUAUUUGAAAACUAUAUUGAGACAAGAUAUUGCUUUCUUUG
rnacentral:misc_RNA from 1 species